UUAAGCGACUAAGCGUACACGGUGGAUGCCCUGGCAGUCAGAGGCGAUGAAGGACGUGCUAAUCUGCGAUAAGCGUCGGUGAGGUGAUAUGAACCGUUAUAACCGGCGAUUUCCGAAUGGGGAAACCCAGUGUGUUUCGACACACUAUCAUUAACUGAAUCCAUAGGUUAAUGAGGCGAACCGGGGGAACUGAAACAUCUAAGUACCCCGAGGAAAAGAAAUCAACCGAGAUUCCCCCAGUAGCGGCGAGCGAAUGGGGAGCAGCCCAGAGCCUGAAUCAGUGUGUGUGUUAGUGGAAGCGUCUGGAAAGGCGCGCGAUACAGGGUGACAGCCCCGUACACAAAAAUGCACAUGCUGUGAGCUCGAUGAGUAGGGCGGGACACGUGGUAUCCUGUCUGAAUAUGGGGGGACCAUCCUCCAAGGCUAAAUACUCCUGACUGACCGAUAGUGAACCAGUACCGUGAGGGAAAGGCGAAAAGAACCCCGGCGAGGGGAGUGAAAAAGAACCUGAAACCGUGUACGUACAAGCAGUGGGAGCCUCUUUAUGGGGUGACUGCGUACCUUUUGUAUAAUGGGUCAGCGACUUAUAUUCUGUAGCAAGGUUAACCGAAUAGGGGAGCCGAAGGGAAACCGAGUCUUAACUGGGCGUUAAGUUGCAGGGUAUAGACCCGAAACCCGGUGAUCUAGCCAUGGGCAGGUUGAAGGUUGGGUAACACUAACUGGAGGACCGAACCGACUAAUGUUGAAAAAUUAGCGGAUGACUUGUGGCUGGGGGUGAAAGGCCAAUCAAACCGGGAGAUAGCUGGUUCUCCCCGAAAGCUAUUUAGGUAGCGCCUCGUGAAUUCAUCUCCGGGGGUAGAGCACUGUUUCGGCAAGGGGGUCAUCCCGACUUACCAACCCGAUGCAAACUGCGAAUACCGGAGAAUGUUAUCACGGGAGACACACGGCGGGUGCUAACGUCCGUCGUGAAGAGGGAAACAACCCAGACCGCCAGCUAAGGUCCCAAAGUCAUGGUUAAGUGGGAAACGAUGUGGGAAGGCCCAGACAGCCAGGAUGUUGGCUUAGAAGCAGCCAUCAUUUAAAGAAAGCGUAAUAGCUCACUGGUCGAGUCGGCCUGCGCGGAAGAUGUAACGGGGCUAAACCAUGCACCGAAGCUGCGGCAGCGACGCUUAUGCGUUGUUGGGUAGGGGAGCGUUCUGUAAGCCUGUGAAGGUGUACUGUGAGGUAUGCUGGAGGUAUCAGAAGUGCGAAUGCUGACAUAAGUAACGAUAAAGCGGGUGAAAAGCCCGCUCGCCGGAAGACCAAGGGUUCCUGUCCAACGUUAAUCGGGGCAGGGUGAGUCGACCCCUAAGGCGAGGCCGAAAGGCGUAGUCGAUGGGAAACAGGUUAAUAUUCCUGUACUUGGUGUUACUGCGAAGGGGGGACGGAGAAGGCUAUGUUGGCCGGGCGACGGUUGUCCCGGUUUAAGCGUGUAGGCUGAUUUUCCAGGCAAAUCCGGAAAAUCAAGGCUGAGGCGUGAUGACGAGGCACUACGGUGCUGAAGCAACAAAUGCCCUGCUUCCAGGAAAAGCCUCUAAGCAUCAGGUAACAUCAAAUCGUACCCCAAACCGACACAGGUGGUCAGGUAGAGAAUACCAAGGCGCUUGAGAGAACUCGGGUGAAGGAACUAGGCAAAAUGGUGCCGUAACUUCGGGAGAAGGCACGCUGAUAUGUAGGUGAAGCGACUUGCUCGUGGAGCUGAAAUCAGUCGAAGAUACCAGCUGGCUGCAACUGUUUAUUAAAAACACAGCACUGUGCAAACACGAAAGUGGACGUAUACGGUGUGACGCCUGCCCGGUGCCGGAAGGUUAAUUGAUGGGGUUAGCGGUAACGCGAAGCUCUUGAUCGAAGCCCCGGUAAACGGCGGCCGUAACUAUAACGGUCCUAAGGUAGCGAAAUUCCUUGUCGGGUAAGUUCCGACCUGCACGAAUGGCGUAAUGAUGGCCAGGCUGUCUCCACCCGAGACUCAGUGAAAUUGAACUCGCUGUGAAGAUGCAGUGUACCCGCGGCAAGACGGAAAGACCCCGUGAACCUUUACUAUAGCUUGACACUGAACAUUGAGCCUUGAUGUGUAGGAUAGGUGGGAGGCUUUGAAGUGUGGACGCCAGUCUGCAUGGAGCCGGCCUUGAAAUACCACCCUUUAAUGUUUGAUGUUCUAACGUUGGCCCCUGAUCGGGGUUGCGGACAGUGUCUGGUGGGUAGUUUGACUGGGGCGGUCUCCUCCUAAAGAGUAACGGAGGAGCACGAAGGUUGGCUAAUCCUGGUCGGACAUCAGGAGGUUAGUGCAAUGGCAUAAGCCAGCUUGACUGCGAGCGUGACGGCGCGAGCAGGUGCGAAAGCAGGUCAUAGUGAUCCGGUGGUUCUGAAUGGAAGGGCCAUCGCUCAACGGAUAAAAGGUACUCCGGGGAUAACAGGCUGAUACCGCCCAAGAGUUCAUAUCGACGGCGGUGUUUGGCACCUCGAUGUCGGCUCAUCACAUCCUGGGGCUGAAGUAGGUCCCAAGGGUAUGGCUGUUCGCCAUUUAAAGUGGUACGCGAGCUGGGUUUAGAACGUCGUGAGACAGUUCGGUCCCUAUCUGCCGUGGGCGCUGGAGAACUGAGGGGGGCUGCUCCUAGUACGAGAGGACCGGAGUGGACGCAUCACUGGUGUUCGGGUUGUCAUGCCAAUGGCACUGCCCGGUAGCUAAAUGCGGAAGAGAUAAGUGCUGAAAGCAUCUAAGCACGAAACUUGCCCCGAGAUGAGUUCUCCCUGAGACUUAGAGUCUCCUGAAGGAACGUUGAAGACGACGACGUUGAUAGGCCGGGUGUGUAAGCGCAGCGAUGCGUUGAGCUAACCGGUACUAAUGAACCGUGAGGCUUAACCUU
rnacentral:rRNA from 1 species